rnacentral:rRNA from 1 species
UACUAGAGUAGCACUCGCAUAUCAAUAAGCGGAGGAAAAGAAACUAACAAGGAUUCCCCUAGUAACGGCGAGUGAAGCGGGAAGAGCUCAAAUUUGAAAUCUUAAAGGGUUUCCCUUUACGAAUUGUAGUUUAAAGAAGUGUUUUCUGUUGAGGUUUUGGUAAAAGUUCUUUGGAAUAGGACAUCAUAGAGGGUGAGAAUCCCGUAUUUGACCUUUACUUUCAACUUUGUGAUACACUUUCAAAGAGUCGGAUUGUUUGGGAAUGCAGUCCAAAAUGGGUGGUAAAUUUCAUCUAAAGCUAAAUAUUGGCGAGAGACCGAUAGCGAACAAGUACCGUGAGGGAAAGAUGAAAAGAACUUUGAAAAGAGAGUUAAACAGUACGUGAAGUUGUCAAAAGGGAAGCGUUUGACACCAGUGUUGUUUUUCUGAAAAUCAAUUAAAGAACUGUUUAUGCUAAGCUGUUUAGACUUUAUCAGCUAUCUGUUUAGUUUUGAGCUUUUCUUUAAUGCACUUUUCAGUUAACAAGUCAACAUCAAUUUCUUUUGCUGUAAAAAAGCUUGAGGAAGGUGGCUUGAGAUUCGUCUUAAGUGUUUAUAGCCUCUUGCCUAUGCAGUCGGAGAGAUUGAGGUCUGCAGCGUAGAUCCUUCGGGGCUAAAUGCAUUUGUGCUAAGUUAUAGCAUUUUAUAGACAACUUGUUGACUAUGAUUUGUCUUGUAGCUUACUCGCUUAUGUUAUUUUACCUACGCUUAGGAUGUUGAUCUACAGAGCGAGAGU